UACGUAGGGUGCGAGCGUUAAUCGGAAUUACUGGGCGUAAAGUGUGCGCAGGCGGCCGAGCAAGUCGAGUGUGAAAGCCCCCGAGCUUAACUUGGGAACUGCGCUCGAAACUACUUGGCUGGAGUGUGGCAGAGGAAGGUGGAAUUCCACGUGUAGCGGUGAAAUGCGCAGAUAUCAGGAGGAACACCGAUGGCGAAGGCAGCUUACUAGGCUGUAACUGACGCUGAGGCACGAAAGUGUGGGGAUCAAACAGG
rnacentral:rRNA from 1 species